rnacentral:sRNA from 1 species
CUACGCCAGCGCUAUGGGCUGACAUAAAUAGCGGUGGAUAAAACUCAGGCAAUAAAAAACGCCGGCAUAACCGGCGUUUUUUA